CAUGUAGGCGGUCUGUCAAGUCUGAUGUGAAAGCCCGGGGCUCAACCCCGGAAGUGCAUUGGAAACUGGCAGACUUGAGUACGGGAGAGGAAAGUGGAAUUUCGAGUGUAGGGGUGAAAUCCGUAGAUAUUCGAAGGAACACCAGUGGCGAAGGCGGCUUUCUGGACCGAUACUGACGCUGAGAUGCGAAAGCGUGGGGAGUAAACAGGAUUAGAUACCCUGGUAGUCC
rnacentral:rRNA from 1 species